rnacentral:rRNA from 1 species
AGAAUCAACGCUGGCGGCGUGCCUAACACAUGCAAGUCGAACGAGAAAGUGGAGCAAUCCAUGAGUAAAGUGGCGACCGGGUGAGUAACACGUGACUAACCUACCUUCGAGUGGGGGAUAACCUUCGGGAAACCGGGGCUAAUACCGCAUAAUAUCCACGGAUCAAAGGAGCAAUUCGCUUGAAGAGGGGUCGCGGCUGAUUAGUUAGUUGGCGGGGUAAUGGCCCACCAAGACAAUGAUCGGUAGCCGGCCUGAGAGGGCGCACGGCCACACUGGAACUGAAACACGGUCCAGACUCCUACGGGAGGCAGCAGUGGGAAUUUGCGCAAUGGGGGAAACCCUGACGCAGCAACGCCGCGUGGAGGAUGAAGUCCCUUGGGACGUAAACUCCUUUCGACUGGGAAGAUAAUGACGGUACCAGUGGAAGAAGCCCCGGCUAACUUCGUGCCAGCAGCCGC